UGGCGGCAUGCCUUACACAUGCAAGUCGAACGGCCAGCACGGGUGCUUGCACCUGGUGGCGAGUGGCGAACGGGUGAGUAAUACAUCGGAACGUACCUUAUCGUGGGGGAUAACGCAGCGAAAGUUGCGCUAAUACCGCAUACGCCCUGAGGGGGAAAGCGGGGGACCGUAAGGCCUCGCGCGAUUAGAGCGGCCGAUGUCUGAUUAGCUUGUUGGUGAGGUAAAAGCUCACCAAGGCGAUGAUCAGUAGCUGGUCUGAGAGGACGAUCAGCCACACUGGGACUGAGACACGGCCCAGACUCCUACGGGAGGCAGCAGUGGGGAAUUUUGGACAAUGGGGGCAACCCUGAUCCAGCAAUGCCGCGUGAGUGAAGAAGGCCUUCGGGUUGUAAAGCUCUUUUGUCAGGGAAGAAACAGCAGCUCUAACACAGACUGCGAAUGACGGUACCUGAAGAAUAAGCACCGGCUAACUACGUGCCAGCAGCCGCGGUAAUACGUAGGGUGCGAGCGUUAAUCGGAAUUACUGGGCGUAAAGCGUGCGCAGGCGGUUAUACAAGACAGGCGUGAAAUCCCCGGGCUUAACCUGGGAAUGGCGUCUGUGACUGUAUAGCUAGAGUGUGUCAGAGGGGGGUGGAAUUCCACGUGUAGCAGUGAAAUGCGUAGAUAUGUGGAGGAACACCAAUGGCGAAGGCAG
rnacentral:rRNA from 1 species